GCAGGAAAACACAACACUGGGUGGCGCUGUUCCCACAGCUGUGCGACUGAACGACGAGCUACUCGCCAGUCAUCAAGCGGAUAGAAGGCUAGCCAGUAUUAUCAAGUCAGCUACGGCAAAAAGUAUGUAUUUAUCCAGCUGACAUACUGCAGCAGUUCAGACCUGCCUGUUUUCCCUUCUGCACCAACAAACAAAAGCAUUCCCACACGAGAGAGGUGCGUGCUGGUGUUGCUGUGGCUCCUUGCCAGCCACUCUCACAGAGAGUCCUUAAAGGUUGCCAAGGAACUUGUGAUUGCAUGUAGAGACGGAAAGAGAUGUGUACAGAUGAGGCGAGAUGUGACAUCACAUUCAGAUUUUCCAGGGAUGUGCUAGCAGAGGGGAAACAGACUGUCCUCUACAUGUCCUUAACAAGCCGGUCUCUAGGGACCGUCAGUGACACGGCUGUCUUCCGAUCACUAAUCUAUCAUCAUUUGGACAGAUUAGUAAGCAAACAACCUGUACUCUCUGGCUGGACUGCAGUACUGUGAGUGGAGAAGGACUGACCUGAGACCUGAUGAUGAUGGGUAUUUGGGAUAGUGAAGAGUGAAGAGAAGGGACAUGUCAUGCCAUUUCACAACAACCUCAGGGAAAGUGUCGGUUGCCAGAGCUCAGGAUGAGAGCGAACAGAGUGCCAUCUGCCAAGGGCAAACCUCAUCCCAGUGAAAGCAUGACAAGAGAGUGACAAGAGG
ensembl:lncRNA